AUUGAACGCUGGCGGCAGGCCUAACACAUGCAAGUCGAACGGUAACAGGAAACAGCUUGCUGUUUCGCUGACGAGUGGCGGACGGGUGAGUAAUGUCUGGGAAACUGCCUGAUGGAGGAGGAUAACUACUGGAAACGGUAGCUAAUACCGCAUAACGUCGCAAGACCAAAGAGGGGGACCUUCGGGCCUCUUGCCAUCGGAUGUGCCCGGAUGGGAUUAGCUAGUAGGUGGGGUAACGGCUCACCUAGGCGACGAUCCCUAGCUGGUCUGAGAGGAUGACCAGCCACACUGGAACUGAGACACGGUCCAGACUCCUACGGGAGGCAGCAGUGGGGAAUAUUGCACAAUGGGCGCAAGCCUGAUGCAGCCAUGUCGCGUGUAUGGAGAAGGCCUUCGGGUUGUAAAGUACUUUCAGCGGGGAGGAAGGGAGUAAAGUUAAUACCUUUGCUCAUUGACGUUACCCGCAGAAGAAGCACCGGCUAACUCCGUGCCAGCCGCCGCAGUAA
rnacentral:rRNA from 1 species